rnacentral:rRNA from 1 species
UACGGGGGGUGCGAGCGUUGUCCGGAAUCACUGGGCGUAAAGGGCGCGUAGGUGGUUUGAUAAGGGUGUGGUGAAAGUCCGGGGCUCAACCCCGGAUCUGCCGUGCCGACUGUCAAACUCGAGGACUGUAGAGGCAGACGGAAUUCCGGGUGUAGCGGUGGAAUGCGUAGAGAUCCGGAGGAAGACCGGUGGCGAAGGCGGUCUGCUGGGCAGUUGCUGACACUGAGGAGCGAAAGCGUGGGGAGCGAACAGG